rnacentral:rRNA from 1 species
GACAGAGGUCCCAAGCGUUAGGCGGAAUCACUGGGCUUAAAGCGUGUGUAGGCGGAUUUGUAAGUACCUUGUGAAAUCCCACGGCUCAACCGUGGAACUGCUUGGUAUACUGCUUAUCUUGGGCCAUCUAGGGGCGAGCGGAACAAACGGUGGAGCGGUGAAAUGCGUAGAUAUCGUUUGGAACGCCAAUGGUGAAAACAGCUCGCUGGGGAUGUGCCGACGCUGAGAUACGAAAGCCAGGGGAGCGAACAGG